UUUACCCCUGCUGGUUUUGAGGAAGAGAGGGAAAUUGAAUUCUUUCACUGCAUUUGUGUGUUGGAGAGGUUGGGUCUCGGAGUGAUGAAACUUAGAUGCCAAUUCUUGCUUAACUUUUGGUUUUGUCUGUGACCACCCAAGUGCUCUUUCUCACUUCGACUUCUAUUUUUGAACUUGAAGCUCCUAGGCACCUCCACGCAAAUAAAGCAGACCAACAUAUGUCUACAAAGGCAAGUGAUUUGUCAAAGCAAGCCAGCAUAAUGGGCUUUGUAUGCAAUGGACCGGAAGUGGGCUUCAAAAACAUUACUACUCCACUGAAACUUUGUGCUAAACCAAACCAAUGACAAUUUCAUCCUCUAGUGAGUGCUUUUGAGAAGCAAUUUUCCUGAAAUAGAUACACAAUUUUGAAAAGCAAAAUUUUCCUCUGCUUCACCAGGUGGUGACACCUGUAUUUUUUUUCUAAUUAAUGCAAUUUAUGGGUUUUCAAAUGUUA